AUUGAACGCUGGCGGCAGGCCUAACACAUGCAAGUCGAGCGAGCGGCGGACGGGUGAGAAAUGUAUGGGGACUGCCCGAUAGAGGGGGAUAACUACUGGAAACGGGAGCUAAUACCGCAUACUAUCGGAUAACCCAUAGGGGAUUAGCUAGUAGGUGAGGUAAUGGCUCACGUAGGCGACGAUCCCUAGCUGGUCUGAGAGGAGGAUCAGCCACACUGGGACUGAGACACGGCCCAGACUCCUACGGAGGCAGCAGUGGGGAAUAUUGCACAAUGGGCGCAAGCCUGAUGCAGCCAUGCCGCGUGUAUGAAGAAGGCCCUAGGGUUGUAAAGUACUUUUGGCAGGGAGGCGGUAUCUGCAGAAUAAGCACCGGCUAACUACGUGCCAGCAGCCGCGGUAAUUC
rnacentral:rRNA from 1 species